UUGGGUGAAACCAAACGAGAGGUAUACUAUUGUUAAUAGUAAAAUUGAGGUUAAACUCCGCCUAAA
rnacentral:tRNA from 1 species